GUGGGAGGAAAGAAGAGGAAGAGCUGGAGGGGGUGAGAAAGUAAGGGGAGGGAGGCAGAGGGUUCUGCUUGGUUUCCAGGCUAGGAGGCGGUGCCUGGAGGAUACAGGAACGGGGCUCCCCUGAUCGAAGCUGGUCUAUACUCGCUAUGGGAAGUGUUACACCUUCAACGCGGACCCGCGGAGCUCGCUGCCCAGCCGGGCAGGGGGCAUGGGCAGUGGCCUGGAGAUCAUGCUGGACAUCCAGCAGGAGGAGUACCUGCCCAUCUGGAGGGAGACAAAUGAGACGUCGUUUGAGGCAGGUAUUCGGGUGCAGAUCCACAGCCAGGAGGAGCCGCCCUACAUCCACCAGCUGGGGUUCGGGGUGUCCCCAGGCUUCCAGACCUUUGUGUCCUGCCAGGAACAGCGGCUGACCUACCUGCCCCAGCCCUGGGGCAACUGCCGUGCAGAGAGUGAGCUCAGGGAGCCUGAGCUUCAGGGCUACUCGGCCUACAGUGUGUCUGCCUGCCGGCUGCGCUGUGAAAAGGAGGCCGUGCUUCAGCGCUGCCACUGCCGGAUGGUGCACAUGCCAGGCAAUGAGACCAUCUGCCCACCAAAUAUCUACAUCGAGUGUGCCGACCACACACUGGACUCCCUGGGUGGGGGCCCCGAGGGCCCGUGCUUCUGCCCCACCCCCUGCAACCUGACGCGCUACGGGAAAGAGAUCUCCAUGGUCAGGAUCCCCAACAGGGGCUCAGCCCGGUACCUGGCGAGGAAGUACAACCGCAACGAGACCUACAUACGGGAGAACUUCCUGGUCCUAGACGUCUUCUUUGAGGCCCUGACCUCUGAAGCCAUGGAGCAGCGAGCAGCCUAUGGCCUGUCAGCCCUGCUGGGAGACCUUGGGGGACAGAUGGGCCUGUUCAUUGGGGCCAGCAUCCUCACAUUGCUGGAGAUCCUCGACUACAUCUAUGAGGCAAGGGCCCCGGGGAAGGCAGGGUGGGAGUGGGGGCUGUGGGCAAAGCAGAAGGGGGCAGUGCGGGGUGCCUGGUGGAGCUGGCCUGGCUGGAAAGUCAGGUUCAGGGUUCUCUGCCAGGGUCCCCUGACUGGCUGGCAGGCCUGAGGGCUCAGAGUCAGGAGAAGGGGAUGGGUGAGGAGGAGGAGGAAGGUGUCCUACUGGGAGUUUGCUGUGGCAGUAAGUCCUAUGGGCAGCUGGGCAUGGUAAGGCUCACGCUUCUCCUCAACCAAAUUUUUCUAAGCCCAGUGCUGUCCCCCACCCUGAACCCCAAGGUGUCCUGGGAUCGACUGAAGCGGGUAUGGAGGCGUCCCAAGACCCCCCUGCGGACCUCCACUGGGGGCAUCUCCACUUUGGGGCUUCAGGAGCUGAAGGAACAGGUGAGGACAAGCUCUACACAGCAUGCAGCCACACCUCCCCAGGACUGAAUACGUCCAUGGUUUCUGAACCAGCCUGUGGAGGGGGCCCUGGAGCUUCUAACCGAGGUGACAAGGAAAGGCUGGCGGUGUGAGCCCUGGGGGCACCACUUGAGCUCUCCCUGUCCCACUCUCUCUUUUCUUUCUCCUGCAGAGUCCCUGCCUGAGCCGGGGCCGAGCUGAGGGUGGGGGGGCCAGCAGUCUGCUCCCCAACCACCACCACCCCCACGGUCCCCCAGGAGGUCUCUUUGAAGAUUUCGCUUGCUAGGAUGGUGCUGUGACUGAAAGGACCCAGGAGUCUGGGACCCCUCCUGGGAUCCCCAGCACAUUCUCCUGCUCCUGGGAAAGGCCUGGGGGCGGUGCUCACUGGGAGGGCCAGGACUCAGUUCCUGCUCUCAUCUUCCCCUGCCCUGAUGUCAGCUGCUUUGCACAAAGGUCCUUCUUGUCCACACCCCUUACUCCCAGGCUGGUGCCCCGGGAGGGCUGGAGACCAGGCCAUGGGCCCUCAUGGAGCGGAAGGGAAGGAAGGAGAGAGGGAGGGGGAGGAUAGAGCCCAUCCCAGCUGGGGAGGGGGAGCCCUCUGUACAUUUGUAAAUAUUUAGGGAAAGCCGGGUGGAGGGGGAUACAGAUGUAGAAGGUGGGUAGGGCUACGGGGUGGGUGAUUUAGGGACAGCCAGGGUCCCAGCCCCAAUGUCAGCAGGACAGGGAGAGCCCCAGGACUCAGGAGUGCUGGGCUGGUCCUACUUCCUGCCCCUCUCCAGGCCCAGCUCCCCUCUUGGCAGGGGGAGAGGAUGGCCCAGCAGGCCUGGCCCAGCUCCCAGCUCCCCCUGCACCAGCUCCACCCCUAGAGUCCCUUCUAUAGGGAGGGGGCAGGAGACCUUCCAGACUUCGGCUGAGCUUGGAGGGUGGGAAGGGAGCCUUCUUAGUCCUCUCUCCCUCCAGUCUGAUUUUAUAAAGUGCUGACGAGAUUGGGAAUAAAGAGGCAUAAAGAA
rnacentral:sRNA from 1 species